GACGAACGCUGGCGGCGUGCUUAACACAUGCAAGUCGAACGGAAAGGCCCUGCUUUUGUGGGGUGCUCGAGUGGCGAACGGGUGAGUAACACGUGAGUAACCUGCCCUUGACUGUGGGAGAACUUCAGGAAACUGGGGCUAAUACCGGAUAGGAGCUCCUGCUGCAUGGUGGGGGUGGGAAAGUUUCGGCGGUUGGGGAUGGAAUAGCGGCUUAUCAGCUUGUUGGUGGGGUAGUGGCUUACCAAGGCUUUGACGGGUAGCCGGCCUGAGAGGGUGACCGGCCACAUUGGGCCUGAGAUACGGCCCGGACUCCUACGGGAGGCAGCAGUGGGGAAUAUUGCACAAUGGGCGGAAGCCUGAUGCAGCAACGCCGCGUGCGGGAUGACGGCCUUCGGGUUGUAAUCCGCUUUCGCCUGUGACGAAGCGUGAGUGACGGUACUGGGUAAAGAAGCACCGGCUAACUACGUG
rnacentral:rRNA from 1 species